GUCCCCAUAGCUCAACUGGAUAGAGCGCAGCCCUCCGAAGGCUGAAAUCGAGGUUCAAAUCCCCGUGGGGACA
rnacentral:tRNA from 1 species